rnacentral:rRNA from 1 species
UACGAAGGGUGCAAACGUUGCUCGGAAUGACUGGGCGGAAAGGGCGCGUAGGCGGCUCAUACAGUCAGAUGUGAAAUUCCUGGGCUUAACCUGGGAGCUGCAUUUGAUACGUGUGGGCUUGAGUGGGGAAGAGGGUCGUGGAAUUCCCAGUGUAGAGGUGAAAUUCGUAGAUAUUGGGAAGAACACCGGUGGCGAAGGCGGCGACCUGGUCCUUGACUGACGCUGAGGCGCGAAAGCGUGGGGAGCAAACAGG